CACUUUAAUCUGUUUAUUUUCCAGGUACAUUAACCCUAAUCUAUCUGGGCUUUGUUCAAUUUUUUGUGGGUUGAACUUACAGUGUUGUUGUAAUGAUACUAAUGAUGAUGAUAUGCACAGCUGCAGCUUAAUCUGCCAUUGGAGGACACAUUAAUGGUUCUGAUCAAAGAUAGAAAAGUUUUGAGUGUUCUGAUGGAGAAAUGUGAACAAAUGGGUAAAGAACAUGUCAAUUUGGUUAGGAAAUUCACAGCCUGUUGUUGGUCAUGCCACCGCUGGAGAUCAGUGACGUUCACGACACAUCUAGAACUCCUGCCAGACGAUAGAUAAUACGAUUUUGUACAAGUGGAUGUCACUCGUGUUUGUUAUUGAGCUUUCACCGUUCUGGAAUUGAAAUUGAUAGGAGAAUCGAAGAUAUUGCAGGAUACUAAUUUUAACAGAUUGAACCAGUUUUAGACAAAUGGUGACGAUCACGGGAUCAUCACAUAUGUACACUCCUUCGUGUGUCUUUCAAACUCUGCAAGUUUAAUUAUACCUCAACCUUCUUCAAUGGUAGAGUAUCAGACCAAAACAGCAAGCUGGCUCCAAAUUAGCUCCAGGAGACACACGAUUCACAGAUUGGAUAAAAAAGUGUGACAAGUGCAUUGUAGGUUUAUGUUUAAAGCAAAUAGAUGGUGACAUGGGAUCUCAAAAAUGUUGUUUCCCACCAUUGAUUUCUUGACCACCGGAAGAAGAAAUUGAUCUUCUGUCAUCUCAAUUUGAGCAAACAAGUGGAGUCUUCUCAAUUGAAGUCGUAUGUAUUUUUCCUUCACUGAAUCUAUCCCAUUGUUAGAUAUAUAUAAAGGUUUUUGGUAUUCUUAUAGAUUUUCUAGAGCUGUACUUUGAUAAUUAGUGUGUAUCAUUGUAUAAUCCGAUCUCUCAUCCUGUUUUGUUAUGUGGUAAUUCAUCUGUGGCUAUUCAUCGUAUAAUCCGAUCUACAAUGCUCCUGACCAGAAACCUAGAACUCAUCGGUAUUUCUCUUUAUUCGGGUCUUCACUUGGUGUUCCUCCACUUCCCAUGGUGUAUAAUAAUGCAAGAGCUAACGCAAAUGAUGAGCAUAUUGUUUAUCGAGAUGCAUUGCAGAAUUUGCUCGAAAGAAUGAGAAAUUGUCGGUGGUGGUCUGUAAAGAGGCGUAAACAGUUGUUCGUUUGCGUUGUUUUAGAUCGGUAAUUUAAGUUUCCUAGGUGUUUUUGGUUGUUAAUUAGAGGACUAGGAGUCGUUUUGUUUUUACAGGGAUGAAGAGGUCUGGAGACGAUCAUGUUUCCGUGGGUGAUUUUCAUCUUACGCUGCCGAUUGUCUCUGAAUUAACAGAAUUCCUGUUGGUGAAAAUUUGAUGGUCAGGAGUGUGGCGAACAUCUCAGGUUGUUGCGCGGAUUGUUUGGGGUUGAGUGAAUCUGUGGUUCAUACUUUUCUUGAAAGCCACUUAGCCAAGGCUGGUUAGUGUGCGAAAGGUUUUAAUCGCAGUUUAAGUCAUGAAUGAAAUCUUAAUAUCACAAUGUUACUUUAGAGGAUCCUUCUCGAUUUUUUGAAUGGUGAAAAAGUUUCGGGCACGACGAAGGGAGGGUCAUCACUAUUUUAUGAUCUAUCUGCUUUGUACGAUCAAGCUAGAAAGGCCACUAUUCUUGAAAAAUUGGUUCUUGGCUUAGAGGAAUCACUUAAAUGGAGAGGUCGAUACCCUCGAAGAUAUUUGGAUGUCGUCCAAUAAAAGAUUAGAUCCUAAAAUUUAUAUCAGAGUUUUCUAUAUGGUUUCGGGUUUGAAAGUUAACUACAACAAAAGCCACGCCUUCGGGAUAGAUAAGGAGGGGAAAUAGGAGGCACGUAUGACAUAAAUUAUGCAUUGUAAAGCUGGCAAUGGAAAAACGACCCGGAUAACUCAUUCUUGGUUAAAACAGUUGGAGUUGGGAGAAGAUAGUCAGUGUGCCAGUAAUACUUCUACGUAUAUAAAACAACAAAUGUCGUGUAUGAGGAAGUGUUUAACGAGUUGUGAUUUUUGUCUUAUUUAUUUCUUUUAAUUCGGUGUAACUUUAUAUUCACGUUAGUAGUUCAACGUUUAUUCAAUUAAAAGUUGUGAUUUUUAUGCUA